GAAUACUGAGGUUUUGAUGAGAAAAAUGGCUGUGAGUUUUGAAAUGUCUUUGAGAAUUUCUUGGAUUUGUUGCCUGUUAAUUGGAGGGAUAACCUGUUAUCCUCCACCUAAAGGUAACUAUAGAUAUAUUCCCCAAAU